AUUCAUAUAUUAAAACAAAAACCAAAUUAAAAUACGUAAAGAAAGCAAAAUGGUUGGUAGUCGACAUUUUUCGAAGAUUAGUUAAGAAAGAAAGGGAUGAGAUAGCUAGAAAAUUUGAACUUAUUGAACGCCAAGGAGUAGAAAGGGAAAUUCAGAGAGAAGUAGCAGAGCAUAAGUAUAUAAUUUUUUUGCUUGAUGUAUGAAAUAAGUAUUGACCCAAUUAACAUUGUUUUCACAGAACCUGUGCCAGAAGAACAGCCAAUAUCGCAUUCGGCAGAGCAACGUAUAAUGGCUGCAUUUUCUAGAUUAGAAAAAAAACUUGAUGUGCUAUCACAAACAUUGGCGGAGGCGGUGGCUCUGCUCAAGCUUCAGACUAAAAAAGAGCCAGAUCUAUCACCCAAUGCCAUUAAGUUCCCGAUAGAGUCGACGAUGGAGUUGGAGCAUUUCACUAAAAAAUUUUAAAGAAUUUUACAAUGUUCUGGAAUUGGCGGUGAAGAUGAAAAUACCCAACCCAACCCAUUCAAUUAAA
rnacentral:sRNA from 1 species